GAUGAACGCUAGCGGCAGGCUUAACACAUGCAAGUCGAGGGGUAAGGUAGCAAUAUCUGAGACCGGCGCACGGGUGCGUAACGCGUAUGCAAUCUACCUUUCACAGAGGGAUAGCCCAGAGAAAUUUGGAUUAAUACCUCAUAGUAUAAUGAUUUGGCAUCAAGACAUUAUUAAAGUCACAACGGUGAAAGAUGAGCAUGCGUCCCAUUAGCUAGUUGGUAUGGUAACGGCAUACCAAGGCGACGAUGGGUAGGGGUCCUGAGAGGGAGAUCCCCCACACUGGUACUGAGACACGGACCAGACUCCUACGGGAGGCAGCAGUGAGGAAUAUUGGACAAUGGGCGCAAGCCUGAUCCAGCCAUGCCGCGUGCAGGAUGACGGUCCUAUGGAUUGUAAACUGCUUUUGCACAGGAAGAAACAACGCUACGUGUAGCGUCUUGACGGUACUGUGAGAAUAAGGAUCGGCUAACUCCGUG
rnacentral:rRNA from 1 species